UGAGUUAGUCAGACAAUCGCUGGUUUAUUGAAGCCCUUAACCGUCAUAAGACGACCUGCGGGACAAGUAAACGAGAGGAAAGUCCGGGCUACAUAGGGCAGAGUGCCGGAUAACGUCCGGGGGGCGUGAGCCUACGACCAGUGCAGCAGAGAGCAAACCGCCGAUGGCUCAAUUGAGAUCAGGUAAGGGUGAAAGGGUGCGGUAAGAGCGCACCGCGUGCGUGGUAACAUGUCAUGGCAGGGUAAACUCCACUCGUAGCAAGACCAAAUAGGAAUCCAACGAGUUGCCCGCUUGGGAUUCGGGUAGGUUGCUUGAGCGUAUGUGUAAAUGUACGUCUAGAGGAAUGAUUGUCCACGACAGAACCCGGCUUAUCGACUAACUCAUUAA
rnacentral:RNase_P_RNA from 1 species